rnacentral:rRNA from 1 species
UACGUAGGGUGCAAGCGUUAAUCGGAAUACUGGGCGUAAAGCGUGCGCAGGCGGUGAUGUAAGACAGUUGUGAAAUCCCCGGGCUCAACCUGGGAACUGCAUCUGUGACUGCAUCGCUGGAGUGCGGCAGAGGGGGAUGGAAUUCCGCGUGUAGCAGUGAAAUGCGUAGAUAUGCGGAGGAACACCGAUGGCGAAGGCAAUCCCCUGGGCCUGCACUGACGCUCAUGCACGAAGCGUAGGGGAGCGAA